UGGCGGCUGUAGCGCGGUGGUCCCACCUGACCCCAUGCCGAACUCAGAAGUGAAACGCCGUAGCGCCGAUGGUAGUGUGGGGUCUCCCCAUGCGAGAGUAGGGAACUGCCA
rnacentral:rRNA from 20 species